rnacentral:rRNA from 1 species
GACGAACGCUGGCGGCGUGCCUAACACAUGCAAGUCGAGCGAGGGGAGUUCUUCGGAACAAACCUAGCGGCGGACGGGUGAGUAACACGUGGACAACCUGCCUCAUAGAGGGGAAUAGCCUUCCGAAAGGAAGAUUAAUACCGCAUAAGAUUGUAGCUUCGCAUGAAGCAGCAAUUAAAGGAGCAAUCCGCUAUGAGAUGGGCCCGCGGCGCAUUAGCUAGUUGGUGAGGUAACGGCUCACCAAGGCGACGAUGCGUAGCCGACCUGAGAGGGUGAUCGGCCACAUUGGGACUGAGACACGGCCCAGACUCCUACGGGAGGCAGCAGUGGGGAAUAUUGCACAAUGGGGGAAACCCUGAUGCAGCAACGCCGCGUGAGUGAUGACGGCCUUCGGGUUGUAAAGCUCUGUCUUCAGGGACGAUAAUGACGGUACCUGAGGAGGAAGCCACGGCUAACUACGUGCCAGCAGCCGCCGUAAAAC